rnacentral:SRP_RNA from 1 species
CGCCCGUCGUGGAGCGCGCGGGACCUCAGCACGCUGGCAACGGCGCAGGGCGACCCGCCGCACCCGGACG